UUCCUGAUGGUCCAAUCGCUAAGACUCUGAGCUCCCAAUGCAAGGGGCCCAGGUUCAAUCCCUGGUCAGGGAA
rnacentral:tRNA from 1 species